GUUUAAGUACCACUGAUGUAGUGGUUUUAGCAUUGCACCAGGACUCUGGAGACCAGGGUUCGAAUCCCUGCUCAACCA